AGAGAGCUGUGCUGAGGGUGCCAGAUGUGCCUGCUACCCCGCUGGAGUCUACUAUGCUCUAGAGAGUACAGGAGCACAUCAGUUUGUCCCCCAUCAUAAUUCAGUUAUUGGUCUUCAAGGCUGUUUCAUUUCUGAGGCUUCUUAGCAGAGACAUUCAUUUAUUCAUUCCUUAGUUCUGUUUCGAGUGGUAGCUGUGUUCUUGGCACUGCUUCUUGGAGAUUAGCAGUGAGCAAAGUAGACAAAUCUUUAUCAUCAUGGAAAAUGACAAACAAAGAAACAGAUAUGAAAUAUAUAGUUUGUCAUAUGGUGAUAAGUACCAGGGAGAGAAAUAAAGCAGAGAAAGGGUCAUAGGAAGCUAUAAGAUACUCCAGGACAGCAGGAAGAUGGCUGGUAUUUCAUCAGACUUGAAUCUAUUUAACUUAGCAAAUGAUCCCCAUCUGACUGCCUCUCAAAAAACCAAUAAACAAGUUUAUAGAAAAGUAUAACUCUUUCUGUGUUGUCUCAUUUAAAGAUAUUGGCUUAUGUUCAGGCAGAUUUUGCCCACAGGAAUUGACACAAUUCUCAGUAUGAAUCCAAGGGACAAAUUUUCCCAACAGAGGCCAGAAGUCAAACAGAUCCCUGCAUCUUCAGCCACGAAGAACUCAACCAGCCUGUAG
rnacentral:lncRNA from 1 species